rnacentral:lncRNA from 10 species
CUCACUUCUCUCCCCGCGCCUUCUGAACUCGCCGCGGUCCUGGGAGGCCCGGCGCGCAAGGCGCGCCGCCUGGGAGUAGUUGCGACCCGCAACCGUUGGCGCUAUGCGGCUCCUACCCGAGGCCAGGCGUGGAGUGAACACGGACGAGCGACGAGAAGUGCGGAGAGGCUAGGGCUGCGGGUGUUAACCGCCCUGCCGCUAAUUUAAAUGCUUUUUAUCACCUCUUAAAAAGAGAAUGAGGAAAAAAACCUCUAAAAUCCCUGCAGUCAUACCCCCCGAAAAGCCCUAAAAUUGCAGGCGAUGAAGGGAGAAAACGGCUUGGAGCCAUGAGAAUGGUCUUUCCACUGUUUUGUGUGCAAAAUCUGGUAGAAGUGGGCGGACCCUCCCGCCCCUAGCUGGGUGUUGGAGAACAGCUGUCAGCAUUGACUGAAGGCUGCGAGGCGCGCGUCGGCAGGAGGCGCUGCACGCGGGCGCUCGUCGGUCUGAUCGGUUAUAACUCGUUUGUAACCUGGGCCCUUUACUGACUUGCCUGUCCCUGUAAGUCCCUGCUCCAGUUAAAUAUGUUUUAAUCCUUCCAUAUAAAAUCUCAUCCUCCAUCCCAAUUCUUUCUCUUCUGGACAAUGUAUUUACUUCACUUGAUCAUUUAUUGUCGAAAGAUACAAAAGCCUUUCAAAGUUCUGUGAUCACAGCUUGCUUCCUCUGUGGUGUCCUGAGGGCUUUUCCAAGAUUUUAGUUGCUGCUCUCUUUUUGCAACAGGGCCCCUUAUAACUCCCUCUUAAGAUGUUCUGUUUUAAAAACUCUGUGAGCGCCUGAAGACAGGAACUGUGUGCAAUUUUCAUUUUCGCAAGCCCAGUUCCUGUGCGAUCUCCAGCACAAUUUAGGUGCUCAACAAUGCUGAAUGAGUAGUCCUUGGGAAAUAAAGGUCCAGUGUAUCUUUCAGGACAGAAACUGGCAAAUCAAGGCAACCUAACUGCCCUCUGUCAGGUGCCUCUUGGAGGACUGCCUGAGAUCAAGAGCCUCUUGUGUUUCUGUUGUCCUUGUCCCUCGGAUGCUUUCCUAGAUGUGGCUCUUCCUUUCCUAAGAGUGUAGAUUGCUUCCUCCUCCAGCCUAGUUCUCUCCAAAGUUAUUUCCUCCUCCA